rnacentral:tRNA from 1 species
AGCCUUAUAUUCAAUAAUGAUAUUAAAUUGCAAAUUUAAAGGAGUGUAAAUGCUAAGGCUU